rnacentral:rRNA from 1 species
AGCGUACACAGGUGCUGCAUGGCUGUCGUCAGCUCGUGUCGUGAGAUGUUGGUUAAGUCCCGCAACGAGCGCAACCCUGCAUUCAGUUGCCAUCGGGUGAAGCCGGGCACUCUGGAAGGACUGCCAUCGACAAGAUGGAGGAAGUGGGGACGACGUCAAGUCAUCAUGGCCCUUAUGUCCAGGGCGACACACGUGCUACAAUGGCCGGCACAACGGGAAGCGAGUUCGCGAGGACGAGCGGAUCCCUUAAAGCCGGUCGCAGUUCGGAUUGAAGUCUGCAACUCGACUUCAUGAAGCUGGAAUCGCUAGUAAUCGCAGAUCAGCCAAGCUGCGGUGAAUACGUUCCCGGGCCUU